GGGGGCGAUCUGGUUUCGACGGGGAUAGUUGAGGCAAGGAUUGCAUGUCGAGGUUCCUGUUCCCUCGUAAAACAAUAGGAAAAAUACAACUGCCAACAACGAAUUGGCUCUGGCUGCCUAACUAGCCGUUAGUGCGGUCACGUCCCCUUGCCCUUUUGCCUUGUGGGGGCAGGGUCGGGCGUCAUAAACACAAGGAUAGCUAGCUCUCCCUGGCUCGGGGAGGGCUGGUGAGAACCUUUGAGCUGGUGAGCCCUUUAAUCCUCGCCUCUCGGAGUGAGGGCUCACGAGAAUAAAAAGAUGAGGCUAAACAUGUAGAUAUCCUUCGCUGAAUAUCUUCGGACGGGGGUUCGAUUCCCCCCGCCUCCACCA
rnacentral:tmRNA from 1 species